UACGGAGGGAGCUAGCGUUAUUCGGAAUUACUGGGCGUAAAGCGCACGUAGGCGGCUUUGUAAGUUAGAGGUGAAAGCCUGGAGCUCAACUCCAGAAUUGCCUUUAAGACUGCAUCGCUUGAAUCCAGGAGAGGUGAGUGGAAUUCCGAGUGUAGAGGUGAAAUUCGUAGAUAUUCGGAAGAACACCAGUGGCGAAGGCGGCUCACUGGACUGGUACUGACGCUGAGGUGCGAAAGCGUGGGGAGCAAACAGG
rnacentral:rRNA from 1 species